AGUGAACGCUGGCGGUAGGCCUAACACAUGCAAGUCGAACGGCAGCACAGUAAGAGCUUGCUCUUACGGGUGGCGAGUGGCGGACGGGUGAGGAAUACAUCGGAAUCUACUUUUUCGUGGGGGAUAACGUAGGGAAACUUACGCUAAUACCGCAUACGACCUACGGGUGAAAGCAGGGGAUCUUCGCACCUUGCGCGAUUGAAUGAGCCGAUGUCGGAUUAGCUAGUUGGCGGGGUAAAGGCCCACCAAGGCGACGAUCCGUAGCUGGUCUGAGAGGAUGACCAGCCACACUGGAACUGAGACACGGUCCAGACUCCUACGGGAGGCGGCAGUGGGGAAUAUUGGACAAUGGGCGCAAGCCUGAUCCAGCCAUACCGCGUGGGUGAAGAAGGCCUUCGGGUUGUAAAGCCCUUUUGUUGGGAAAGAAAAGCAGCAGGUUAAUACCCCGCUGUUCUGACGGUACCCAAAGAAUAAGCACCGGCUAACUUCGUG
rnacentral:rRNA from 1 species